rnacentral:tRNA from 1 species
GCCGCUGUAGCUCAGUGGUAGAGCGCGUCAUUGGUAAUGACGAGGCCGGAAGUUCAAUUCUUCCCAGCGGCACCA